rnacentral:rRNA from 1 species
GUCUCUUCGGGGAUGAUUAAACCGGCGCACGGGUGAGUAACACGUGAGUGACCUGCCUUUUAGACUGGAACAACUUACCGAAAGGUGAGCUAAUGCCGGAUGAGUUAUAUAAGUGCAUGUUUAUAUAGGAAAAGUUGGGGAGACCUGACGCUGAAAGAUGGACUCGCGUCCCAUUAGCUAGUUGGUAGGGUAAUGGCCUACCAAGGCGACGAUGGGUAGCCGGCCUGAGAGGGUGGCCGGCCACACUGUGACUGAGACACGGCCCAGACUCCUACGGGAGGCAGCAGUGGGGAAUUUUGCGCAAUGCUCGUAAGAGUGACGCGGCGACGCCGCGUGAAUGACGAAGGCCUUCGGGUCGUAAAGUUCUUUCGACAGGGAAGAAAAUGCCUACAAGUAACUGUGUAUGUAUUGACGGUACCUGUAUAAGCAGCCCCGGCUAACUCCGUGCCAGCAGCCGCGGUAAUACGGAGGGGGCGAGCGUUGUUCGGAGUGACUGGGCGUAAAGAGCACGUAGGCGGUGUUGUAAGUCAUUAGUCAAAGACUAGAGCUCAACUUUAGUAAGGCUAGUGAUACUAUAAUACUAGAGUAUCAGAGAGGAUUGCAGAAUUCCUGGUGCAGCGGUGAAAUGCGUAGAUAUCAGGAGGAAUACCGUUAGCGAAGGCGGCAAUCUGGCUGGAAACUGACGCUGAGGUGCGAAAGCGUGGGUAGCAAACAGGAUUAGAUACCCUGGUAGUCCACGCUGUAAACGAUGGAUGCUAGGUGUUGGGCUUUCAAGUUCAGUGCCGCAGCAAACGCGAUAAGCAUCCCGCCUGGGGAGUACGUUUGCA